CACAUGUACAAGUGGUUACUAAUAGACUUGGUUUUUAGCCUUCACACUCACUUGAAUGCUCCCAUGUGUGAAAGAGAGAGAAAAGAUGGACGACAUAGAUGCCAUGUUCAGUCACCUGCUCGGAGAGAUGGAUCACCUCUCUCAGAGUUUAGGGCCUGCAGCCGAGUCACCAGACAUAAAUCCUACCUCACAGACAGAGAGCACCUUCUCCUUUGGCUUCACAGACUUAAAUGAGUCUCUUAAUGAACUGGAGGACCACGACCUGGAUGCUCUGAUGGCUGACCUUGGAUCAAUAUCGACCUUUAAAAACAGCAGCGAUACAGAUAAUCAACUUUCAGCAUCAGCCAUGACUCAGAAAUCUGAGCCAGCAGCUGCCCUUCCUCCACCACCAAACACUGCUGAAUCAUCUGGAGAGUUGCAGAUGAGCAAGCCCCAUUCAAAGGCAGACAAAAUUAAAUUGGCUCUGGAGAGGCUGAAAGAAGCCAAAGUGAGGAAGUUGAUAGUAAAAGUAAUGAUGAGUGACGGCAGCGCCAAGACACUGAUGGUGGACGAGAGACAGACUGUGCGAGAGGUUUUGGACACGCUGUUUGAGAAGACACACUGUGACUGUAGCAUCGACUGGAGCCUGUGUGAGACCAACCCUGAGCUGCAGAUUGAGAGAGGCUUUGAGGACCAUGAAUAUUUAGUGGAGCCGCUGUCUAUGUGGACUCGCCACAGUGAAAACAAAAUCAAUUUUGUGCUAAGACCUCAGAAGUAUGUGAUGUUCACAGACCCUCAGAUGUUUUACAUGUGGAAAAAGAAGACAGCAUGUUUGAGUGGGAUUAAUGAGCAAGCCAAACAACUCCUACUCAAGGAGCAUUUUGGGGGUUCUAUUGCUAUUGUUCCUGAUCUUGAGGGCACGCUAUACUUAAAGGAAGAUGGGAAAAAGAUUUGGAAACCUCGCUACUUCGUGCUCAGGGCCUCUGGCAUCUACUAUGUACCAAAAGGAAAGACAAAGUCUUCCAGUGAUCUCGCCUGCUUUGUCCGUUUUGAAAAAGUCAAUAUCUACACCACCAAAAGCUACAAACAGAAAUACAGAGCUCCCACCGACUUCUGCUUCAUGCUAAAGCAUCCCUGCAUCCAGAAAGAGUCGCACUACAUCAAAUUCCUGUGCUGUGACAAUGAACACACACUUUUGCUUUGGGUCAACUCCAUCAGAGCAGCCAAGUAUGGGACUGUCCUGUAUGCAAAUUACCAGGCUGCAAUGAAGAGAGCAUCCAGUUUGCAAACUCUCCACUCUGCUGAACACAAGGCAUAGAUUCAUAAAUGCCCUCCCUCAAGCACUGAAUCAACCAGUCGCAGGCCUUAGAAGGUGACAGAUCCAGCAUUCGUGUUGAAGAGUAUCCACAUGAGCCACCACCUGACUUCAUCCCUCCUCCUCCUCCUGGACACACACACUUUUGAGAGACAUCACCUCCUGUGUUUCAGGGUUAACUUCUGCUAGCCCGGAUUUAGCCAAUUUAGCCUACCUUAUGCACACACGUCUGGACAAAUGUCUAGCCUGGACCCAAUAACAUGUUUUAGUAAUGCACACAUGUAUUAGUAGUAGUGCCACAUGCCUCUGAUGCAAAAUAACAUAUUUCAAAAGCAUUUCUUUAUUCUCAGACGUAUAACAUUUAUUUGAAUUUUGUUUUGGACUACAUUUCAGCAACUUACAAAUUUUUACCUCCGUUCCAACAGCUUUACGACACACAAAACACACAGUUUUGUUCAUUGUUUCAACGAGCUGUUUAUUACAAAAAGACUGUACAUAAAUUUCAAUGAACACAUUCUAUGUACAAACUGAGAGAAGACAAAUAUUGGAUUCUGUUCCCAUGAACAUUUAAAUUACUGAUUCCCUCCCCCCACACGUUUCAUCAUUAAGAAAACACACAUCAAAGAAAGGCGCCUUGACCUGUGAUGCCCUGAAAUGCUAGACAUUAAGUGGUAAACAUUACAAAGUUCUGCACGUCAGUGGUUGUCUCAUGAUUUCUCUAUGAAAAAAGUAUAAAUUAAUCCUUUACAUACAAACUGCUUGCGAACCUUCCUCAGCAGUCUCUGACACCACAACAAGCUGAAUGCAAAGCUAGAAAUACAUUAGGUAGAAAAAGUUGUUUUUUCACAAAAAAAUACCUCAAGAUGGGAAAAAAUACAAUCAAGAAUGGGAUGUAGUGGCAAAUCAUUCACUGUAAUGACGUUAAGAUAUUUUCAUGCACAGAGGCUCAAUGAACACUGUUCAUUUGACCGAGUCAUUGUCUUUUCUAGUCUGAAAAUGUUACCUCUGGAUCAUAUUCCUCUCACAACAUCAGAAAGUCUGUAACCAUUCCAAAAUAAGAGUGCAUGUUCAUUCCGAAAGUACAUAUGUAUAUGUUUGUUUAUGUGGCUUGUUACAAACAUAGAUUCUGAGAUAAACAUGAGCUUCAAUGA